rfam:Picea glauca, whole genome shotgun sequence.
ACAUGCCUACAACAUAGCGUUAGUGCAUUGGAUCCCAUUAUAACUCCACAGUUAAGUGUGCUCAAGCUAGAGUAGUAUUGGGAUGGGUGACCGCCCAAGAAGUCCUAGUGUUUUACAUGCC